GAUGAACGCUGGCGGCGUGCUUAACACAUGCAAGUCGAACGGAAAGGCCCCAGCUUGCUGGGGUACUCGAGUGGCGAACGGGUGAGUAACACGUGGGUGAUCUGCCCUGCACUCUGGGAUAAGCUUGGGAAACUGGGUCUAAUACCGAAUAUGACCACUUCUUGGAUGUUGUGGUGGAAAGCUUUUGCGGUGUGGGAUGAGCCUGCGGCCUAUCAGCUUGUUGGUGGGGUAAUGGCCUACCAAGGCGGCGACGGGUAUCCGGCCUGAGAGGGUGUACGGAGACAUUGGGACUGAGAUACGGCCCAGACUCCUACGGGAGGCAGCAGUGGGGAAUAUUGCACAAUGGGCGCAAGCCUGAUGCAGCGACGCCGCGUGGGGGAUGAAGGCCUUCGGGUUGUAAACUCCUUUCGCUAUCGACGAAGCCACUUGUGGUGACGGUAGGUAGAUAAGAAGCACCGGCUAACUACGUGCCAGCCGCCGCGGUAA
rnacentral:rRNA from 1 species